CCAAUUUUUUUGUAAUUUUUUUUGUGAGCAGAGUCCAAUCGGCUGUCUUGAGUUUAUCGUAUCGCAGCGGCAUACCCAAAUACAUGAGGAGAAAAUCAGUAGAUUUACUGUCGAGGAUCCUUACAAUUUGAUUUGUGUGUAUUUGUGUUAAACCAAUUUCUAGAACUUUUUAUUAGAUGUAUGUCUUAGAAGUCAAUAUAG
rnacentral:lncRNA from 1 species